rnacentral:tRNA from 4 species
GGGGCCAUAGCUCAGCUGGGAGAGCGCAACAAUGGCAUUGUUGAGGUCGGGAGUUCGAUCCUCCCUGGCUCCACCA